GCAUCCCCUCCCUUAUUGGGUAAUGGUGGGGGCCUAUAAGGAGGAGGCUUGUCUGCCUUGGUAGCCUCGCCUUUUCCACUAGAUUCUCCGAUCAACUGGGGCAUCCUAUACUUCCUUCUUUCUUGCCCGUUAUGUGUCACAACCCGUCCCGAGAUUUUAAUCAUCGAGGACGUGAAAAGACGAAUUUACCCUUAGCAGGUAUUAAGGUACGUGGGUGUGACGUUAUUUGGAUUAAUUUUUAAUUUUUAAUUUUAUAAGUUUGGAUUGGAUUUUGGAUUGUAUUUUGUGUGGGUAGGGAUUAAAUUUGGCAUGUAUGGUUGUGGUUGGACCACACACUCGCUCAAGACCUCCCUCCUUCCCCCGUGCCUUCUCUCUCUCUUCUCCCUCACUACUCUCUCAGUUUCUCACUCUCUCCCUCUCAAAUUGUACGGACCUCACCACAAAACCCUGAAACUUCACGGAUCGAAGGUGCCAAGGGCACCAUUGUGCUCGUGAAGACUCUACGAACUCAAAGACACCAUUUUCAGGUAAGGAAUCCUUCGUUUUCACGUUGAAAACUCGAGGUCCGAGUUUGGCACUAUUCAUGAACUUUUUGUUGGUUGAUUUUUAGGACAAUCCAAGCUCAUAGUGAGCUUAGUGAGGUCCUCGGAGUGCUUCGUUGGAAGG
rnacentral:lncRNA from 1 species